AUGGGGAAGAAUUUUUUUUCUGACCUUACAGUCCUCCUUUUUCUUUACAUGUUUUUCUUUAUUGACUGUUCUUUCCCAGUUGGCAAUCUGAGUAAGAAAGAAGGGGCUAGCAUCAUCACAAAGCUGAAAUGUUCCGCUUCAGCCCAAACACUCGGAAAGAACAUGGGGUACAUCACUGACAAAACGCAGCGAUGCGAUUUUCUGUGUGUUCGGCCUUCGUUGCAGGAAGAGCCUGUAUCGGAGAGUGCAUGGGUGCCUGAGUCUCUGGACCAUCCAGUGCUCCACAUCUCUGUUAAGAUUAAUCAGCUGAAUAUAAGAGAGCACUCCCCAAGUCUUCACGGAGGCGCAACUGCGAAGCUAAUCAAAAUCAAUGACUUCUUGGCUGCUGUAAAAAAACAGAGGAGCGCCCAGGAGAGAGGGACUGUGCUGGUUUCCUACCCAUUAGGAAGGUACAGAACCCCCCCCCACCACCACCUCUCACAGCUGUUGCAAUGCAGGAGGCACAGCGCUAGGGGAGUAUACAGCAUGCUUUCGUUUCAAAUACAAACAUCAACCAGGGUUAAAUCAGAUAUUUAA
rnacentral:lncRNA from 1 species